rnacentral:rRNA from 1 species
ACGGAUUAGUGGCGAACGGGUGAGUAACAUAUCGGAACGUACCCAGUAAUGGGGGGUAACUAGUCGAAAGACUGGCUAAUACCGCAUACGCCCUGGAGGGGGAAGCGGGGGAUCGAAAGACCUCGUGUUAUUGGAGCGGCCGAUAUCUGAUUAGCUAGUUGGUGGGGUAAAGGCCUACCAAGGCGACGAUCAGUAGCUGGUCUGAGAGGACGACCAGCCACACUGGAACUGAGACACGGUCCAG